UCAGGUGGCCGCAGAGAAUAGGCCCAAGCGACUGUUUACCAAAAACAUAGGUUUCUGCUAAGUCGCAAGACGAUGUAUAGGAGCUGACGCCUGCCCGGUGCUGGAAGGGUAAGGGGAUCUGUUAGAGUAAUCGAAGCAGUGAACUUAAGCCCCAGUAAACGGCGGCCGUAACUAUAACGGUCCUACGGUAGCGAAAUUCCUUGUCGGGUAAGUUCCGACCCGCACGACAGGCGUAACGAUUUGGGCACUGUCUCAACAACAGACUCGGUGAAAUUGUAAUUCCGGUGAAGAUGCCGGAUACC
rnacentral:rRNA from 1 species